AAAGCUAAAAAUAAUUUUAAGACAUAAAAAUAAAAUCAAGAAAAAAAAUGUGUGUUAAAAUGAACCACUUGAAAUAAAUAAUUAAAAUAAAAUAUUAAUAUUAAAUAAAUACGAAAAUAAAAAUUAAAUAAAAUUAAAUAAGGCAUUAAAAAAUGUGGAAAAUAUUUUUUGAUAUUUUUAUGGACAAAGAAAAUAUUUUAAAAUAAUCAAAAGCAAAACAAAAGUUAAAUGUGAAUUAAAAAAGAAAUGAAAAUAGAGUGGAUUAGUGUUAAUGAGCCAGGAAAG
rnacentral:lncRNA from 1 species